CUACGGGAGGCUCCAGUGAGGAAUAUUGCACAAUGGGGGGAACCCUGAUGCAGCAACGCCGCGUGGAGGAUGACGCAUUUCGGUGUGUAAACUCCUUUUAUAUGUCAAGAAAAUGACGGUAGCAUAUGAAUAAGCACCGGCUAACUCCGUGCCAGCAGCCGCGGUAAUACGGAGGGUGCAAGCGUUACUCGGAAUCACUGGGCGUAAAGGACGCGUAGGCGGGUUGGAAAGUCAGGUGUGAAAUCCUACAGCUUAACUGUAGAACUGCACUUGAAACUUCUAUCUAGAGUAUGGGAGGGGUAGAUGGAAUUCGUGGUGUAGGGGUAAAAUCCGUAGAUAUCACUAGGAAUACCUAAAGCGAAGGCGAUCUCCUGGAACAUUACUGACGCUAAGGCGUGAAAGCGUGGGGAGCAAACAGGAUUAGAUACCCUAGUAGUC
rnacentral:rRNA from 1 species